rnacentral:lncRNA from 1 species
CACGGUUGAUAUUUGGUAAAGGAUCCAUUAGAAGUAUCUGAGUUCUAACUGUGUUGUAGGAGUCGUUUAAACCUUCUAAAAAGCAUAUCACAUGCUCAGCUUCUCUGUAUUUCAAGGAAAUUCGUGAAAGAUCACAGCUGCAGGGGAUCUCACAUGUGCAGCUGGGUAUGGGCCUUAAAGAUUCAAGUUCUUCCCACAGGAUUUUUAAAUCUGUGAAGAACUGACUUACCCCC